GGGCUUUGGCAGCACAUAUACUAAAAUUGCAAUAAUACAGAGAAUAAUGUGGCUCCUGAUCAAGGAUGACAUGCAAACUUAUGAUGGAUUCCAUAUUUAA
ensembl:snRNA U6 U6 spliceosomal RNA